CCCUUAGAUGUUCUGGGCCGCACGCGCGCUACACUGAAAGCGUCAACGAGUUUAUAACCUUGACCGGGAGGUCUGGGUAAUCUUUUGAAACGCUUUCGUGCUGGGGAUUGAUGGUUGCAAUUGUCCAUCAUGAACGAGGAAUGCCUAGUAAGCGCAGGUCAUCAGCCUGCGUUGAUUACGUCCCUGCCCUUUGUACACACCGCCCGUCGCUCCUACCGAUUGGAUGGUCCGGUGAGACUUCCGGACCGCGGCGCCCACGGAGGUUCGCCACCGAGGGUGCCGCGGGAAGUUAUUCAAACCUUAUCAUCUAGAGGAAGGAGAAGUCGUAACA
rnacentral:rRNA from 1 species